AGGAAAGCUCAGGCAGCCGCUUUCAAUGUAACAGUUGGGAGAGGAAAGUCCGGACACUCAAGGGCAAUGCGCCAUGUGAAAGCAUGGGUACAGCAGGGCAAACCUGCUGUAACGGAUCAGUGUCACAGAAAACAAACUACCUUUUUGGGCUUUGCCCAAAAAGGAAAAGGUGAAAAGGCGGUGUAAGAGACCACCAUAGCGCUUAGUAAUAAGCGCUGCAGGAUAAACCCCGCAGGAGUGCAAGGCCGCGUAAAGUAUCACUUUUGGGCUGCCCGUCUGAAUCCGCAUUUUUAUGCGGUGUGAUACAGGGUAGGCUGCACCAGAUAAAUGGCUGCCCAGGCUCCGUAAGGAGCGGGUACAGGAUCCGGCUUAUGAGCUUUCCGUUUU
rnacentral:RNase_P_RNA from 1 species